rnacentral:rRNA from 1 species
UAUUGCACAAUGGGGGCAAGCCUGAUGCAGCCAUGCCGCGUGUAUGAAGAAGGCCUUCGGGUUGUAAAGUACUUUCAGCGGGGAGGAAGGGCGUAAAGUUAAUACCUUUGCUAAUUGACGUUACACGCAGAAGAAGCACCGGCUAACUACGUGCCAGCAGCCGCGGUAAUACGGAGGGCGCAAGCGUUAAUCGGAAUUACUGGGCGUAAAGCGCACGCAGGCGGUUUGUUAAGUCAGAUGUGAAAUCCCCGGGCUCAACCUGGGAGCUGCAUCUGAUACUGGCAAGCUUGAGUCUCGUAGAGGGGGGUAGAAUUCCAGGUGUAGCGGUGAAAUGCGUAGAGAUCUGGAGGAAUACCGGUGGCGAAGGCGGCCACCUGGACGAAGACUGACGCUCAGGUGCGAAAGCGUGGGGAGCAAACAG